CACGUAGGGGACGAGCGUUGUCCGGAUUCAUUGGGCGUAAAGCGCGCGUAGGCGGCUCGGAAAGUCGGUCGUGAAAUGCCGGGGCUCAACCCCGGGACUGCGUCCGAUACUCCCGAGCUGGAGGCAGGUAGGGGAGACUCGGAAUUCCUGGUGUAGCGGUGAAAUGCGCAGAUAUCAGGAGGAACACCGGUGGCGAAGGCGGAUCUCUGGCCUUGCCUGACGCUGAGGCGCGAAAGCUAGGGGAGCGAACAGG
rnacentral:rRNA from 1 species